rnacentral:rRNA from 1 species
UACAGAGGGUGCAAGCGUUGUUCGGAAUUAUUGGGCGUAAAGCGCGUGUAGGCGGCUUUGCAAGUCGGGUGUGAAAGCCCUCAGCUUAACUGAGGAAGUGCGCCCGAAACUGCAGAGCUUGAAUACCGGAGAGGAUGGCGGAAUUCCCCAAGUAGAGGUGAAAUUCGUAGAUAUGGGGAGGAACACCGGUGGCGAAGGCGGCCUUCUGGACAGUGACGUGACGCUGAGACGCGAAAGCGUGGGGAGCAAACAGG